rnacentral:rRNA from 1 species
AUACGUAGGGGGCGAGCGUUGUCCGGAAUGAUUGGGCGUAAAGGGCGCGUAGGCGGCGCGGUAAGUCUGGAGUGAAAGUCCUGCUUUCAAGGUGGGAAUUGCUUUGGAUACUGCCGCGCUUGAGUGCAGGAGAGGUUAUCGGAAUUCCCGGUGUAGCGGUGAAAUGCGUAGAGAUCGGGAGGAACACCAGUGGCGAAGGCGGGUAACUGGACUGCAACUGACGCUGAGGCGCGAAAGGGUGGGGAGCAAACAGGAUUAGAUACCCGGGUAGUCCACGCCGUAAACGAUGAUUACUAGGUGUGGGGGGACUGACCCCUUCCGUGCCGCAGUUAACACAAUAAGUAAUCCACCUGGGGAGUACGGCCGCAAGGUUGAAACUCAAAUGAAUUGGCGGGG